rnacentral:rRNA from 1 species
GCCCAGCGGUGGACAUGUGGUUUAUUCGAUGCAACGCGAAGAACCUUACCUACUCUUGACAUCCAGAGAACUUAGCAGAGAUGCUUUGGUGCCUUCGGGAACUCUGAGACAGGUGCUGCAUGGCUGUCGUCAGCUCGUGUUGUGAAAUGUUGGGUUAAGUCCCGCAACGAGCGCAACCCUUAUCCUUUGUUGCCAGCGAUUCGGUCGGGAACUCAAAGGAGACUGCCGGUGAUAAACCGGAGGAAGGUGGGGAUGACGUCAAGUCAUCAUGGCCCUUACGAGUAGGGCUACACACGUGCUACAAUGGCGUAUACAAAGAGAAGCGACCUCGCGAGAGCAAGCGGAACUCAUAAAGUACGUCGUAGUCCGGAUUGGAGUCUGCAACUCGACUCCAUGAAGUCGGAAUCGCUAGUAAUCGUAGAUCAGAAUGCUACGGUGAAUACGUUCCCGGGCCUUGUACAACCCGCCCGUAA